GAUGAACGCUGGCGGCGUGCCUAAUACAUGCAAGUCGAGCGAACGGACGAGAAGCUUGCUUCUCUGAUGUUAGCGGCGGACGGGUGAGUAACACGUGGAUAACCUACCUAUAAGACUGGGAUAACUUCGGGAAACCGGAGCUAAUACCGGAUGAUAUUUUGAACCGCAUGGUUCAAAAGUGAAAGACGGUCUUGCUGUCACUUAUAGAUGGAUCCGCGCUGCAUUAGCUAGUUGGUAAGGUAACGGCUUACCAAGGCAACGAUGCAUAGCCGACCUGAGAGGGUGAUCGGCCACACUGGAACUGAGACACGGUCCAGACUCCUACGGGAGGCAGCGGUAGGGAAUCUUCCGCAAUGGGCGAAAGCCUGACGGAGCAACGCCGCGUGAGUGAUGAAGGUCUUCGGAUCGUAAAACUCUGUUAUUAGGGAAGAACAUAUGUGUAAGUAACUGUGCACAUCUUGACGGUACCUAAUCAGAAAGCCACGGCUAACUACGUGCCAGCAGCCGCGGUAAUACGUAGGUGGCAAGCGUUAUCCGGAAUUAUUGGGCGUAAAGCGCGCGUAGGCGGUUUUUUAAGUCUGAUGUGAAAGCCCACGGCUCAACCGUGGAGGGUCAUUGGAAACUGGAAAACUUGAGUGCAGAAGAGGAAAGUGGAAUUCCAUGUGUAGCGGUGAAAUGCGCAGAGAUAUGGAGGAACACCAGUGGCGAAGGCGGCUUUCUGGUCUGUAACUGACGCUGAUGUGCGAAAGCGUGGGGAUCAAACAGGAUUAGAUACCCUGGUAGUCCACGCCGUAAACGAUGAGUGCUAAGUGUUAGGGGGUUUCCGCCCCUUAGUGCUGCAGCUAACGCAUUAAGCACUCCGCCUGGGGAGUACGACCGCAAGGUUGAAACUCAAAGGAAUUGACGGGGACCCGCACAAGCGGUGGAGCAUGUGGUUUAAUUCGAAGCAACGCGAAGAACCUUACCAAAUCUUGACAUCCUUUGACAACUCUAGAGAUAGAGCCUUCCCCUUCGGGGGACAAAGUGACAGGUGGUGCAUGGUUGUCGUCAGCUCGUGUCGUGAGAUGUUGGGUUAAGUCCCGCAACGAGCGCAACCCUUAAGCUUAGUUGCCAUCAUUAAGUUGGGCACUCUAAGUUGACUGCCGGUGACAAACCGGAGGAAGGUGGGGAUGACGUCAAAUCAUCAUGCCCCUUAUGAUUUGGGCUACACACGUGCUACAAUGGACAAUACAAAGGGCAGCGAAACCGCGAGGUCAAGCAAAUCCCAUAAAGUUGUUCUCAGUUCGGAUUGUAGUCUGCAACUCGACUACAUGAAGCUGGAAUCGCUAGUAAUCGUAGAUCAGCAUGCUACGGUGAAUACGUUCCCGGGUCU
rnacentral:rRNA from 1 species